rnacentral:rRNA from 1 species
CCUACGGGUGUCAGCAGUGAGGAAUAUUGGUCAAUGGGCGAGAGCCUGAACCAGCCAAGUCGCGUGAGGGAGUACUGCCCUAUGGGUUGUAAACCUCUUUUGUCUGGGAGCAAAAGCCGGACGUGUCCGGCUGUGAGAGUACCCGAAGAAAAAGCAUCGGCUAACUCCGUGCCAGCCGCCGCGGUAAUACGUAGGUGGCGAGCGUUAUCCGGAAUGAUUGGGCGUAAAGGGUGCGCAGGCGGUCCUGCAAGUCUGGAGUGAAACGCAUGAGCUCAACUCAUGCAUGGCUUUGGAGACUGGAGGACUGGAGAGCAGGAGAGGGCGGUGGAACUCCAUGUGUAGCGGUAAAAUGCGUAGAUAUAUGGAAGAACACCAGUGGCGAAGGCGGCCGCCUGGCCUGUUGCUGACGCUGAGGCACGAAAGCGUGGGGAGCAAAUAGGAUUAGAUACCCCAGUAGUC